CUAUGUCAAAGGCAUUUGCUCCAAAGACAGCUUUGAUCAUUAUGUCCUGACUGUCCAGAUUUACUAACUGCUUAGAAUAGCAUCAAUCAGAUGUGAAAACUUCCAGUUAUUAAAGCAUCAGUCAUUACCUCAUAAAUAUCUGUCAUAAAUAACAAGUUCACACUUUAUAUCAGUCAUUUGCAUAUAAUACUUCCCAGUAUUUUCUGCAGUUAAUAAUUUAAAAUGAAUGGAUAAAUUGUAUUUAAAAUGUUUUAAAUUUCUAUUUUAUUUGCAUUCUUGAUCUUUAGAAGUGAUGUCUUAAAAUGUAUUUUAUAAAUUUUACACAUUUCAGUUUCUUGUCUAGAAGGGAUUCUGAAUACAAAUGAAACCAGUCUGCAAAGAGGGGUUUCAUACUGCGAAAUAAUAUAGCCGAACAGGUAACUGGUCCUUCUCUGAAGAAAAUUGAUAUUUUACUUGUGCUGAAAAUAAAAUCUUGGCAACAAGGAAAAUGUUCUCAAGUACUGAGAUCCAGUCUAAUCAAGACACAUAACAAGGAAGAAUUGGAAAUAUAUGGCAUGAUAUUUCUUCCUAUAUUUUUUUGUGCAGAAGAUAAGUAUAGAGAUAUUUUUACAUCUUGAGUUCAUUCAAACAUGCUAAACUCUAUAUAUUAUAAUAUUUGGAGCUUUCUUAACCAAACCCAAAAUAUCAAAAUAUGGGCUUAAAUGAUUAUGUGAGGCUUAAAUUAUAAAUAUAUUUGCAUAGAAAAGUAAAUAUUGAUAUAUUACAAUUUCAGACCUUGGCAAAUGAAGGGGGGAUACCACAUAGAACAUAAAACUAAAGGCAUUCAGUCACAAUUAGCACUUAAGAAAUAUUUAACAUCUAUUGAUUUCUUCUAGUAUUCAUAUACUACUUGAAUAUAUCAUGUAUUAAAGCAUGUACUGCCCCAAUAACCUUAUUAUUGUUGUUGCCAAAUGAUAAAGAAGCAGGCCAAGAGAGGAUAAGAAAUCUUUCCAGAAUUGUCUAGCUAGUAAGAAUUAGAGACAUGAUUUAAGCCAAUAUUGCUUUACUCUAGAGAACAUGCAUCAAACCAUUACACCAUGCUGACCCUAAAAUAAAAAAUCAUAUCACAUCA
rnacentral:lncRNA from 1 species